rnacentral:rRNA from 1 species
UUUAACUGAAGAGUUUGAUCAUGGCUCAGAUUGAACGCUGGCGGCAGGCUUAACACAUGCAAGUCGAGCGGGGGAAGGUAGCUUGCUACCGGACCUAGCGGCGGACGGGUGAGUAAUGCUUAGGAAUCUGCCUAUUAGUGGGGGACAACAUCUCGAAAGGGAUGCUAAUACCGCAUACGUCCUACGGGAGAAAGCAGGGGAUCUUCGGACCUUGCGCUAAUAGAUGAGCCUAAGUCGGAUUAGCUAGUUGGUGGGGUAAAGGCCUACCAAGGCGACGAUCUGUAGCGGGUCUGAGAGGAUGAUCCGCCACACUGGGACUGAGACACGGCCCAGACUCCUACGGGAGGCAGCAGUGGGGAAUAUUGGACAAUGGGGGGAACCCUGAUCCAGCCAUGCCGCGUGUGUGAAGAAGGCCUUAUGGUUGUAAAGCACUUUAAGCGAGGAGGAGGCUACUUUAGUUAAUACCUAGAGAUAGUGGACGUUACUCGCAGAAUAAGCACCGGCUAACUCUGUGCCAGCAGCCGCGGUAAUACAGAGGGUGCGAGCGUUAAUCGGAUUUACUGGGCGUAAAGCGUGCGUAGGCGGCUUAUUAAGUCGGAUGUGAAAUCCCCGAGCUUAACUUGGGAAUUGCAUUCGAUACUGGUGAGCUAGAGUAUGGGAGAGGAUGGUAGAAUUCCAGGUGUAGCGGUGAAAUGCGUAGAGAUCUGGAGGAAUACCGAUGGCGAAGGCAGCC